GACGAACGCUGGCGGCGUGCUUAACACAUGCAAGUCGAACGGUGAUGCUCCAGCUUGCUGGAGUGGAUCAGUGGCGAACGGGUGAGUAACACGUGAGCAACCUGCCCCAGACUCUGGAAUAAGCGCUGGAAACGGCGUCUAGUACUGGAUACGAAACUGGCCCGCAUGGGCAUGGUUUGGAAAGUUUUUCGGUUUGGGAUGGGCUCGCGGCCUAUCAGCUUGUUGGUGAGGUAAUGGCUCACCAAGGCGACGACGGGUAGCCGGCCUGAGAGGGCGACCGGCCACACUGGGACUGAGACACGGCCCAGACUCCUACGGGAGGCAGCAGUGGGGAAUAUUGCACAAUGGGCGAAAGCCUGAUGCAGCGACGCCGCGUGAGGGAUGACGGCCUUCGGGUUGUAAACCUCUUUCAGCAGGGAAGAAGCGAAAGUGACGGUACCUGCAGAAGAAGCACCGGCUAACUACGUG
rnacentral:rRNA from 1 species